GCUUGAGUGGUCUAGUGGUAUGAUUCUCGCUUAGGGCUUACUCUAAGUUUAAAUUGCGAGAGGUCCCGCGUUCGAAUCGCGGCCCAAGCC
rnacentral:tRNA from 1 species